rnacentral:lncRNA from 1 species
CCGCUCGUGAGCCAAUUGGCUGCCGCGAGUCAGUCGAACCGGCCAAUGGCGGCGCGGCGCCAGUUAAAAAGCGGCGCCGUGGGGUCGCGGGGCCUUUGAGGAGUCAGAGGUGUGCGUCGGGUAUUUGGGAACACGGGGCGGGCGGUGCCGCCGGCAGGGUAGUGAGGGUGUCCCGCCGUGCCGCCGGCAGGGUGAGUGAGGGUGUCCCGCCGGUGCGCCGGGCCCAGGGGUGAGUGAGGGUGUCCCGCCGGUGCCGCCGGCCCAGGGGUGAGUGAGGGUGUCCCGGCCGGUGCCGCCGGGCCCAGGGGUGAGUGAGGGUGUCCCGCCGGUGCCACCGGGCCCAGGGGUGAAUGAGGGUGUCCGGGCGGUGCCGCUGGGCCCGGGGGUGUCCGGGCAGUGCGAAAUAGGGGUUUGUUCCCCCUCAUCUAGGGACUAGUACCUGACAGCUCCGUUGGCUUUAAUGUAGCUUGCCUAAAUAGUGUGCUGUGAUGGAGGAAAUGACAAAAAUUACUUCUUCUUUUUCCUAUAUGAACUUUACAGGGUGGUCCAUCAACUUGAAGAUGGCAGCUGUGAUCUCUGUUGGUGCAGACAAUGUUGCUCCUGAGAGCCAGCUGCUGAUCUCUCCACGGUCUUCAAAAGGAAAGAGCACACACUCUAGAGGAGUAGUUUGCACUCCACUUCAUAAAAAAGCAUUCUCACCUGCAGCCAUGACUUGCUCUAGGAGAAAGGCUCUUGGUAAAAAAGCAAUCACUACUGCAGCCAUGUCUCACUCUGGGGGAAAGGCUCUUGGUAAAAAAGUAAACACUGUACCUGAAGGCACAUAUCAGCCUUUGAGAAAGGCUCUUGGAAAGGUGAAUACAACUACAGGAGUCACGAGCAAGAUGCCUGAGGUAAAGCAGGAAAAUCAGCCCCAGGUGAAGCAGGAAAAUCAGCCUCGCACUGCAAACAAAGCUGAUGAAAAGACUGAAUUAGACAGCUGGACUUCAGAGUCUGAUGAAGAUUUGGUAGAGUGUAAAGAAGAAGACUGGGCUGAGUCUCAAGAAGAUUGGCCAGAAGUAGAAAAUAUGUUUCAUUUUGAUCCUCAAGACUUUGAGGUCUUUGAUGUUCCUGAGGAGUGCAAACUAAGCAAUCUGGACCUGCGUGGUGUUCCCCUCAUGGUAUAUCCAAGGACAUACCACAGAUGUGUAGAGGAGGAGCCAACACCUCUUCCCACUCCAGAGCUGUCGUUUACACCCAGCUUGCUGCAAGCACAUUUUGACUUCAUUGCUAGCCUGGAAAAACUACACUUCCCUGAGCUGCCACCAUUUCCAGCUGACUUUUAUGAGGAGCAGGAAUGUUGUAACAGGUUUUAAAUUUCAUGUAGUUCUGUAUUUUAAUAAAGGCUAAUCUAACAUGCA